GAUGAACGCUGGCGGCGUGCCUAAUACAUGCAAGUCGAGCGAACAGACGCGGAGCUUGCUCCUCUGACGUUAGCGGCGGACGGGUGAGUAACACGUGGAUAACCUACCUAUAAGACUGGGAUAACUUCGGGAAACCGGAGCUAAUACCGGAUAAUAUAUUGAACCGCAUGGUUCAAUAGUGAAAGACGGUUUUGCUGUCACUUAUAGAUGGUUCCGGGCCGCAUUAGAUAGUUGGUAAGUUCACGGCUUACCAAGGCAACGAUGCGUAGCCGACCGAUGAGGCGGGUAGGCGGCCUUGGAAGUGAGACACGGACAAGGCGCCUGAGAGAGGCAGCAGUAGGGAAUCUGCCGCAGUGGGGGAAAGCCUGACGGAGCAGGGGCGAGUGAGUGAUGACGGCCUUCGGAGCGGAAAACUGUGUUAUGAGUGAAGAACAAAUGUGUAAGGAAAUAUGGACGGAUUGACGGUAACUAAUAAGAAAGCCACGGCUAACUACGUG
rnacentral:rRNA from 1 species